AUUUCCUCUGCAGACCAGACAGUUCACUGUCUCCGCCACGCCAUUUCUUAUCACCACCCGAGAGACAAUGACAGAACAGAAGUCUUUGUUUUGAUGACCUCACCUAACCAUCAACUCAGCCCUGCUAGCAGGAAAAAACACUACCCCCAGUAUCCCAAUGGCCUGUACUCCAUCAAAGAAUGGUGACAGCAAUGACAAAGUUAGUCUGGAAAGCAAAGAUCACUUUUGAGGAGCUGGUGAAAGAGAAAGUUGAUGCUGACAUCCAACUCAUGAAGAAUACUACAAACACAUAAAACCACGUCCUGUAAAUCAAUGCAAACCUAGGGAAUCAGCUGAGCACUCCAGACCACACAGUGCUCUACAGUCGCUACUACACGUUAGAAGGAAUAUUACAACUCCUCUGGAAAUAAUUGUUUCGUCACUUUUCUGUCCCAAAUUAAGUCUAUCCGUCUGUCAUUUGUAAAAUGACCCAAAAAUAUUUUAUAGAUUUCAUUCAACGUUUGUGCAAUCAUUUGAAAUAUGUAUUUAAGAAUAUAAAUACAAUAAA